GCCGAAGUAGCUCAGUUGGUAGAGCGCCUCGCUGUUACGACGCUCGGCGGGUCACCCCCGAUCGUCACAGUCACGAGGCGGUCCCAGGUUCGAGUCCUGGCUUCGGCG
rnacentral:tRNA from 1 species